rnacentral:rRNA from 1 species
UACGGAGGGUGCAAGCGUUAUCCGGAUUCACUGGGUUUAAAGGGUGCGUAGGUGGGUUGGUAAGUCAGUGGUGAAAUCUCCGUGCUUAACAUGGAAACUGCCAUUGAUACUACUGAUUCUUGAAUUUUCAGGAGGUAAGCGGAAUAUGUCAUGUAGCGGUGAAAUGCUUAGAUAUGACAUAGAACACCAAAUUGCGAAGGCAGCUUACUACACAACGAUUGACGCUGAGGCACGAAAGCGUGGGGAUCAAACAGG